AGAGUUUUCAUUAACCUAAUCAUCAUCCCCACCGGAAAAGGAAAAAUUGGACCUGGAUGAUGCUGAAGAUGACAGCUUUGAACAAGCCAAGCUCCUGGUGUUUAUAUCUCUGCAGGAGAGGAGGCAGGGGAAACCCAAGGACCAGAAGCCAUGGCUGAAGCUGAAGAGGGAAGGGUACCACACUGAGACCUAAAUAUGGAGCCCAUGUAUACAGUCGGUGAGUCUGGGGGCCACAGAGGACCAGAGAAGCUUGUAUUUGAAACAUUCUCCAACUUGACCUGCCUGCCUCCAUUUCCCCUGCUGUUCCCGCUCUAGCCGUCAGCUUCCAUCCAAGACGAAGCCAACACCGUUUCCCAAAAUACGAAGGUCAUAGGUGAAGUUGAAGGAUGAUGUCUAAAGGUGGUGAUAGUAAUGACUUUGUCAAGUACUGACAUCAAGAGAAAACUGGUGAAUGUAUUGUGGACAUGUCUGAGGGUACCAAUUCAGAACGGGAGGUUUGGAGAGGGGUUAGGAGAGGCGGAGAAAUGAAUAACAGAAGAAUUGAAAAGGGAGGAGAAUCAUUCCAUGAAAAUUGAAAAUCAGUCCCAGAGGAAGCUGAAGGAAACUCCCCAGAUCUAGUAAGGCUAUGGAAUGGAAAGGAAGGGGAAAGACAUAAAAAUGGAACAGGAAUAAAGCAUUUGAAAUUGUGUUGUCAA